rnacentral:rRNA from 1 species
GUGUCAGCAGCCGCGGUAAUACCGGCAGCCCGAGUGAUGGCCGAUCUUAUUGGGCCUAAAGCGUGGGUAGCUGGCUGAACAAGUCCGUUGGGAAAUCUGUCCGCUUAACGGGCAGGCGUCCAGCGGAAACUGUUCAGCUUGGGACCGGAAGACCUGAGGGGUACGUCUGGGGUAGGAGUGAAAUCCUGUAAUCCUGGUCGGACCGCCGGUGGCGAAAGCGCCUCAGGAGAACGGAUCCGACAGUGAGGGACGAAAGCUUGGGUCUCCAACCGGAUUAGAAACCCCCGUAGUCC